AGUCGUGUCUAUUAAGUUUAGA
rnacentral:siRNA from 1 species